AGCUCCAAUAGCGUAUAUUAAUGUUGUUGCAGUUAAAAGCUCGUAGUUGGAUUUCUGGUGGGAGCACGCGGUCGGCUGCGCAAGCGGUUGCACUUGCUGUGCCUCUCGCCCUUCUCUCGCCUAGCGGCACUGGCAUUAACUUGUUGGGUCGUGAAGCGGGUCGUUUACUGUGAACAAAUUAGAGUGUUCAAAACAGGCUUACGCCGUUGAAUACAUUAGCAUGGAAUAAUAAGAUAGGACUUGGGUGGUCUAUUUUGUUGGUUUGCACGCCU
rnacentral:rRNA from 1 species